rnacentral:misc_RNA from 1 species
CCAAAAUCUCCAAGCUUGGUGUUGAAAUUUGAAUCCAACAUCACAUUGCUUGAUUUAAUGUCUCUAUGCACUACACAUUCUACCCAUUCUUCAUGGAGAUAGAGCAGAGCUGAGGCUAAACCAACUGCUAUCUUGUACCUUACUUUCCAAGAUAGCAUAUUUUCUCUUUUAAAGAGAUGAGAGUCAAGACUUCCAUUAGGCAUGAACUCAUAGAUAAGAAGGAACUCACCCAUUUCAUGGCACCAACCCACAAGUUGCACAAGAUUUUUGUGCCUCAAUUUGCUAAUGAUCUUCACUUCGGACAUGUACUCCUUUCUUCCUUGUUUAGACCCUUUAGAGACCCUUUUCACUGCCACACUUAAAUUAGACAAGUAACCUCUGUAGACUCCUCCAAAUCCUCCUUGCCCAAGUUUCCCUUCUUCCGCAAAGUUAUUUGUAGCUUGAACCAAUUCUUGAUAAGAGAACCUCUUAGGCCCUGUUCCUUGCUCGAAUUCAUGACCCAUGGAAUCAUCUGAUUCAACAUCUUCUUCUUGAUUCCUCUUGUUUCUCCUCCAAGAAAAUAUUGAGAUCAACCCACCAAUAGCAGCAAUUCCACCAAUUGCACUGCCAACUAUUAUACCUAUGCUCUUCCCACCUCCUCGUCUGCCAACUUCGUCUGGCUUGGAUGGAAUUUCAGUUGAGUUGUCUCGCUUGGAUGGAAUUUCAGUUGAGUUGUCUCGCUUGGAUGAAAUUUCAGUUGAGUUGAACUCCCAUGAAAGAAUGUUAUGUAUCUCCCUCAAACUACCGGUUGAAGAUGAAAACCCAACAGUGACCCAUUCAGGCAAAACCAUAUACAGAUCAAUUUUAUGUGAAAGGGUAGCAUCAUUCCGAUUGAAAACCGGAUUAUCAUCAUAAGUCAAGAACAAACUCAAAUUUCUUGUUUGAGAAUUAUAAGUCACCCUCGCAUUAACCUUGGAUCCAUUUUUAAUAGUUUUACUCAAAGUAAUGUUUGCUACUGACCUGAUGGAGUUCACAUUAAUUCCUACAUGAUUAUCACUGGGAUCCCAACUGUUCAGAAAAGUAUCAAACUCAACAGCUACUAUUGCUAAUCCUGUAGUGUCGGAAGAAGAACAAUUGCUGAUCAGCCCAAGGCACUCCCCCCCAGAAUCAUCUGGAACUUGAGAGCCAUUAGGAGCGAGGAAGAACGCCAACCCAUCGGCUCCAGGAGGUUCAAGCAUCGAGAUGUUAAAGGAAAAAUGAGUAUCAAAAUCUGCAACUUUGCCUGUAGUUCGAUCCCAGAGGUGCAUCUCUUGGAAGUACACAGCUCGACCAACGCUGGAGUUACUAUUUUUGGUGAGUGAUAGAAUUCCAUUGGAGAUGGAAGCAUGGCCGGAUAAGUUCAGGUUUUGACGGUUUGUGAAAUCAGGGUAAUUGAAUGAAAUUGCAUACAAAAAAGGAAGAUGAAGGAAUAACAAAAACCAGGAUAAGACGUGAUGGAAACUAGACGUUCUGAAUCUGACAACCAUAUUGAAAGAAAGACAAUAAUAUCAAGAAAAAAGAUGUG